rnacentral:lncRNA from 1 species
UAUUAUAUUUACUACUUAAGGGACUUCGUGCUGCGAUGCGGCUGACGCGAUGCGGUGGGAAGAUAAUAUUAUUUGUCUCAAUAUUGAAUAAUUAAAAAUCAAAGAAUGAAAUUUAAAAAUAAAAUUAAAAUAUAUUUCUUUCUAAAAACAUUUAAACCUAAUAAGUAAAAUAAAUAAAUUAUUUUAUCUCUCAAAAAAAAGUGAAAUAAAUAAAUUAUUUUAAAAUAAAAUAAAAGCACAUUACAACAUUAAAAAAGAUGAAUAAUAUUUUUCUAUUAUCAUCAAUGUAGAAUUUAUAAAUAAAAAAAUAUCGCGAUUAGUCGGUUGCUAUAUAUUUUUUGCGGUCCCACCGGAGGAUACAGAAGUAUAUUCCUAUAUGCUUUAUUCCCAACUCCAUGUUAUCUAAUAGCCUUAUAUAGGUCUCAAUACCAAACUAAGCCUUAUAUUAGAUAGUUUUAUCUUGUCAAAGUUAAAAUUUAUGCGAUGAAAUUUUAUACUUGGUGUAGAUAAAAAAAAAUGUUGAGAGAAAAAAAUAAAAAAAUAAAAAGUUAUAACUAUUAACACCACUUUUUUUUUCUAUUAUGCAUUAAUAUUUUUCAAUAUUAUUUGUUUCAGUAUUGAAUAAUUAAAAAUUAAAGAAUGAAAUUAAAGUAUAUUUAUUUCUAAAAAUAUUUAAACCUAAUAAGUAAAAUAAAUAAAUCAGUUUAAAAUAAAAUAAAAGUUCAUUAUAGUAUUAAAAAAGAAGAAUAAUAUUUUUUUAUUAUCAUCAAGGUAGAAUUUACAAAAAAAAAAAAGAAUAUCGCGAUUAGUCGGUUACGAUAUAUUUUUUACGGUCCCACCGAAGGACACAGAAGUAUAUUCCUAUAUGUUUUUACCCCAACUCCAUAUUAUCUAAUACCGGCGUUAGAUAGGCCUCAAUACCAACCUUAUAUUAGAUAGUUUUAUCUAGUUAAAAUCAAAAUUUAUGUGAUAAAAUUUUAUACUUGGUGUAGAAAGAAAAGAAAAAAGUGUUGAGGGGAAAAAAUAAAAAAAGAAAUGGUAUAAGGUGUGUGAGAGAGAGUGAGAGAGAGGAAAAAAAAAAAUAUGUAAGACAGAGUGAGAGAGAGGUUGAAAAAAAAAAGCGGGACCCACCGAAGCCUCCCGCCAAACGCGGAGAGGCCGCGCUUCGUGACGGGUUAAUAAUAUUUCAGUAAAUUAAUAUAUAUAAUUUUAAAAUUUUAAAAUUGAAAAAAUUUAUAAUGAAAAAUAUAAAACAAACUUAUCUAUCCUUUGUAUAUUAUAAAAGAUAUUUCUUAUUAAUAUUUUUAACUUUCAGUAUUUAUAGAAUUAAAGUAUUCUAAUAACUUUAUUUAAAAAUUAAAUCAAACUUAAUAAUUUUAGUGGCUAUUUUAUCGCGAUGGGGUUGAUCCAUGCGAUAAAAUUUUACACUUGAUGUAGGCAAAAAAAUUAUUAAGAGAGUGAAAAUAAAAAAAAAGAAAGUAAGAGAGAGAGCAAAAAAAAAAUAAAAAAAUAAGAGAGAGAGAGUGAGAGAGAGGAAAAAAUAAAAAAAAAGUAAGAGAGAGAGACAGAGAGAGAGAGUGUGUGUGUGAGUGAGUGAGUGAGUGAGGGAGGGAGAGAAUAAAAAAAAAAGAGUAGGCCCUACCAAAGUCCCCCCGCCAAACGCGGGGAGACUUCGAUUUAACCAACCUUUUAUCAUAUUUAUAGAUUAAGAUAAUUGAUUUUGAUAUUUUUAAUAUUUAAAUUUAAUUAAAUUUUUUAAAUAUGUUGUGUUCCAAGCUUGGUAGCUGGGUCUAGAUAUAGUGGAUGUACCUGGUCAACUCAUCUAUAGAGUGGAGGGCCGAGUUGGAGCCGUUUUAGCACGAAAUAGACGUAAAAACUACUGAAACUGAAUUUUUUGAACUUUUUCGAGCUCAAGAAUUUAUAGCCAUUUAUGCUAGUAACAUAAAUCUAUAGAAAUGAAUUUAAUUUAAUAGCCAAAUUUUUUAUUUCAAAUUUUUAAUUGGUGAAUGUAUAAUUUUCGUAUAAAUUUCAUAUCCAAAUAAUUGGCAAAUCCAUUUUUUAAGUCAUAUUUUUCAACAAAUUUAAAAAAUAAAAAAUAAAUUUUAUUCAUAUUAUACUCGUACCAAAUUUUUACUGAAUUCAAAUUAGCUAACUAUGGUUUGAACUUGUUUCACGUGGUGCUAGUCCUUUUUAGAGUGUGUUUAUGGAUUAUAAUAAGUAUUAGGUGAUUGGAUUAGUCUAUUUUACUAGUUUUUUUUUUUUUUGAGAAAAGGUAGUGAGCUACCUGCUUCAUUCAUUAAACUAAAUGAACUAGGCGUACAUAUUGGAAGCAGCUAGGGCCUCCGGUGCGAGAGACAGGAACGGAGUAAGACGAAAAAUGAAAAAGGGGAAGAGACAAGAUAAAACAAGUAAAACAGAAAAGUAAGGGGGGCAGGAGCAGUUCACAGUAGAUUCAU